GGAGCUGACACGAGAGGACACGAUCGGAAAGGGAACAAAUUAAACUCUGAACCAGGUGAGUGUUAGAACACAGAAAAGUCUCAUGGUGACAAGAUUUGAUCAGGAAAUAAAAACCAGAGGAGACACAGAUUCAGGGAGGAGCUGAGCUGCGACUGAAGAGCAGACGAGACAGAGAAACCUCCACAUUCAACACAGAAGAUUCAGUCCAACAUGUUGUUGUUGGGCUGUUAUGAAACUUCUCUGUUAAUCAUCAUGAUUCUAACAGGUGUCAGCUGUCAACAACUCACUGCCAGCAAAGCUGAAGAGUCCAGUUUGGAAGGCAGCACAGCUACUCUGUCCUACAGAUACUCCAGACAAGCAACUGGAGGUGAUCAGUUCUACUGGUAUCGACAAUAUCCUGGAAAACCACCAGAGUUCCUGACCUUUAACUUGGGAACACAAAACACAACAAAUUCCAAACUUUCUGUCAGAAUGGUCGAUGACAGAAAUGGUCUGAACCUUCAGAUCUCCUCUGCUGCAGUGUCUGACUCUGCUGUGUACUACUGUGCUGUGAGGCCCACAGUGACAGGAA